UACGUAGGGGGCUAGCGUUGUCCGGAAUCAUUGGGCGUAAAGCGCGUGUAGGCGGUUCGGUAAGUCCGCUGUGAAAGUCGGGGGCUCAACCCUCGAAAGCCGGUGGAUACUGUCGGACUAGAGUACGGAAGAGGCGAGUGGAAUUCCUGGUGUAGCGGUGAAAUGCGCAGAUAUCAGGAGGAACACCGAUGGCGAAGGCAGGUCUCUGGGCCACUACUGACGCUGAGAAGCGAAAGCAUGGGGAGCGAACAGG
rnacentral:rRNA from 1 species